CUGAGGCGGGCUGGACCUCUCGGGGUUACAGCCUUGCUGAAUUAUUCACCCUUGUCUUUUGCGUACUUCUUGUUUCCUUGGUGGGUUCGCCCACCACUAGGACAAACAUAAACCUUUUGUAAUUGCAAUCAGCGUCAGUAACAAAUUAAUAAUUACAACUUUCAACAACGGAUCUCUUGGUUCUGGCAUCGAUGAAGAACGCAGCGAAAUGCGAUAAGUAGUGUGAAUUGCAGAAUUCAGUGAAUCAUCGAAUCUUUGAACGCACAUUGCGCCCUUUGGUAUUCCAAAGGGCAUGCCUGUUCGAGCGUCAUUUGUACCCUCAAGCUUUGCUUGGUGUUGGGCGUCUUGUCUCUAGCUUUGCUGGAGACUCGCCUUAAAGUAAUUGGCAGCCGGCCUACUGGUUUCGGAGCGCAGCACAAGUCGCACUCUCUAUCAGCAAAGGUCUAGCAUCCAUUAAGCCUUUUUUUCAACUUUUGACCUCGGAUCAGGUAGGGAUACCCGCUGAACUUAAGCAUAUCAAAAGGCGGGAGGAA
rnacentral:rRNA from 1 species